AAGCUCGUAGUUGAAUUUCGUGGUUAGUAGGUUGGUCAUGCCUCUGGUAUGUACUGGUCUCACUGAUUCCUCCUUCCUUAUGAACCGUAAUGCCAUUAAUUUGGUGUUGCGGGGGAUUUGGACUGUUACUUUGAAAAAAUUAGAGUGUUUAAAGCAAGCUAACGCUUGAAUACAUUAGCAUGGAAUAAUGAAAUAGGACGUUCGAUCUUAUUUUAGUUUGGUUUUCGUUAGGAUUGUACGUAAUGAUUAAUAGGGAGUAGUUGGGU
rnacentral:rRNA from 1 species